GCUUCAAUCAAAACACACAAGUCAUCAUUAACUUCUUUGAGUUACUGAGAGAAAAUCAGAGAGAACAAUUCUUCAUUUUUAGUCAAGAAUGGCAGCUCAAGUAGGUAGAUUCAUGGCCAAGACCAUGGUCCUAAUGCCUACUUUCAAACCCUACCAGCUCAGAAAUAUUAUUAUAUGCGCUAAGAGUGGAAAGAACAUUGACGCCAAUAAUUCGACGCCACCAGUACGUUCGGGCGACGGUCCAAAACACAACAUGCAAGUUACCGGAGGAGGAGGAGGAGGAGGAGGAGGAGGAGAUGGAGGAGGAGAUGAUAAUAUUGACAAAGCUAAAGCAGAUGAUGUCAAUGCCAAGAAGAGCUAGUCCUCAUAUCUCUAAUAACUUUGUUAGCUAGUAGUUAUUGUAGCUAUGUUCAUGGCCGAAAGGUUGGAAUAAGUUUGUAAGUUGUGACUACUAUAUAUUUGGAUUCGACUUCUCGCCAGUCAACUAGAGAGAAUGAGAGAAAGACCAGUUCACAAUACUGUGUGAAUUACUCUCUUUCAUAUUUUUCAGUUGACAAGAGAGAUAUUGUGAAAAUUGUAUUUCACUAGCGUGUUUUUUGUUUUUAUUUGUUUUUGGCCUUCGCUUGUCUUUACACAUUGUAAGAUAAAGCAUAUAUGUAUGAAUAAAUAUUAAAUGUAAGAGUCACAUUAUUCUA